rnacentral:rRNA from 1 species
AUGGAUCCAGGCGGAGCAGCACCCGCCCUCCCGGAUGAUAUGCUUGUCGAGAUCCUCGUCCGCCUCCGCUGCUCCCGCGCCGCCGCGCGGACCGGCAUCCUCUCCCGCUCGUGGCGCGGCCUCUGGACCCGCCUCCCCGUCCAUGUCUUCCGCGGCGUCGCGCUCGGCUCCAUCCAAGCGGCGCUCGAUUCGAUCAAAGCCGAGGGCGGCCCCGGCGCGCUCCUCCUCGACAUCUCCGUUCCGGAGGCGUCCCUCUCCGAAACGGAGUUGAGCGAGCGCGUCCCCAAGCUGCUCGACGCCGCCGCGGCGCUCUUGCCAGUGGAGCUCCGCCUCGCCGUCUGGGAAAACACGCCAUUCAAGUACGUCAAAGUGGUCGUGCCCCGCCUCCCGCGCGCCGCCUCGGUGGAGCUGCAAGGGCUGGAUCUCGCCUUCGCCGACGAGCCAGGCAGCCGGCAGGGGUUCCCGGCGCUGGAGAGGCUCUCCCUCACGAGCUGCCGCGCCGUCCUCACGAACCUGCUCCCCCGCUGUCCGCGGCUGCGCGUGUUCAGGCUCAGGGAUGAUCUUCUUGUCUGUCAACACAAGAACAUCAUCAUCAGAUCCUCGUCGCUGCAGGAGCUGGAUGUGGAGAGCAAGGUCCCCUUCCUGCACCGCAUCGACAUCGAGGCACCUGCGCUCAAGCGACUGGCCAUGUCCUUCACCAGCAGCAACAACAUCAUUGUGUUGGUGUCCGUUUCGGCACCAAUGCUGGACAAGGUGUCAUGGCGCUGCAGCUAUUCCACGGUGUCUGCCGGGCUUGGUGUGUCCGUCGGCCUUGGCCCUUGGGGCCUCCUGUCUGUGAGAUUACACACAGCGGAGACCAAUGGGCAGCUUCAUCCACGUUCAUGUCUGUCGCUCUUCGCGGCCGCCCAUAGUUCAUACAGCUUUUCAGAGGGGCUCAACCUUACGACGGAGAUAGAGAGGCAUAUGGUUACCCUUUUCUCUGUCUUGGAGCUACACGUCCAAACGUGGGGGCAUGUUUUUGGAGCAUUUGCAUUGCACAUCCUUGAAAUGGAUCGGAUUUCCACUGCUAUACAAAGCCUUAAGGUCAUCCUGCUGAGAUCAGAGGAUAAUGAAGCAUGCCCACCAAACUGCGAUUGUGAGCUGCCCAAUAAUAACUGGAGAAGCCAGACUAUCUCCUUGACCAAUCUUGAAAAAGUGGAAAUCGAAGGCUUCCAAGGAGAAGGUCAUGAGUUCGAUUUCUUGAAACUGGUAUUUAGAUGCGCACAAGUGCUGAAAACAAUGUCUGUGAGGCUGUCAGAUGAGGUCACAGCAAGUAGCGACGAUUGCUGCAAGAAAAUACAUGACGUCUUCAAGAUGUAUCCUUUUGUGGAAUGCAAUGUGGAUCUUAGUUCGCCUGGGGUCAACAUGCAGCUGCCAUAG